UCAACUUGAAAGACAGUCCAGGCCAUGAGGACUGCGACCCCUGGGCAAGUACUGGUCCUGUGCUGUGCUGGGCUCAAAGGGGCCAGGGGACUUGGAGUGCAUGUGACCUGGUGAGAUACCAGCUGGGAUGGAUGAGGGAUGCUUGCACCAACCCUCCUCAACCCUAGGCAGUAUAGUUCACAGCUCCAAAAGAGACUCGUUCCUUCUGUUUGAGGAGAGAAGGGAGAACAAAAAGAACCAUGUCUGGCAACUUGGAUACCAGCUCAGCCACAGUAGGAUAGGGCACCGGGCAGAGUCCUGAGGCCCCCAUUCCCAGGCUUAGCACUCAGAUGACAUUUCUAGACAUGCAUUGGGCCAGAAGAUAACCUGCUGCCUUGAAGGGAAAAACCCAGUCCUGGUAGGAUUCAUUAUCUUCUCACUAAAGAACCCUUGGGCCCUGAAUAAUCAGCAGUGGUAGCUAGGCAAUACUUGCCUCUGAUCUUGGGUGAGACUCAGAGGUGUGCUGACUUCAGGUGAGACCCAGCACAUUCCUGGCUGUAGUGGCUAUGGGGAGAGUCUCCCUCUGCCUAAGAGUAAAGGGGAUUUUGUCUUGCAGCUUAGAUACCAGCUCAGUUACAGUGAGAUAGAGCACCACGCAGGCCCUAGGGUUCCUGAUUCCAGGCCUUGGCUCCCAGAUGGCAUCUCUGGGCCUGCCUGGCAUUAGGAGGAACUCAUCAUACUUAGGAGGAACUCAUCCUCUUAGAAGGAACUCAUCACACUAAAAGGGACAUAAGCCUGGAUAACUUUGCCACCUGCUGAGUGUAGAGCCCUUGGUCCAUGAGUGAAAAUAGGCAGUAGCCAGGCAGUGGUCACUGCAGGCCUUAGGUGAAGCCCAGUGCUGUGCAGUCCCAGUGGUGGUGGCCACAGGGGUGCUUGCAUGACCCCUCUACCAGCUCCAGGAAGCUCAGCACAGAGAGAGACCCUGUUUGUUUGGAGGGAAUGUGGUUCUGAGUCAUUAUUUAUGGGAAUAUUGUCUGAACAUGGUCUACUUUGAAGUUUCUCAGUCUUUUUCAUAAUAUGUCCUAUCAGCAUAAAUAUUAUUAUCAAGCUUCAUUUCCUAUAAUUUUCAUUAUGCUGCCCAAAUGAAAAUAUUCUGUUGCAAAUUAUUGAAAUGUAAAAUUUUGUAUUAAAAUAUAAGUUAUUUGUUAAAAUAUUUAAAGUAUGAUUGGUUAUUCUACAUACAGAAACGUCUUUGGAUAUCUCAGUAUGUUCUCAUCUUUCCUCUGUCCUAUUAUUAUUCUUCCAGUGACUCAUGCCAAGAAUUGAUCACAAUGCUCCAAGGGUGGUCUGACCAGCAGGGAACUGAGCAGAAUUGAACAUGGCUUCCUGUUUUCUGUACCCAGUUUCUUUCCAUUUUUCUGGUACCACUCAUGUCCACAUCAUAGUCAUCUUUUGCCUGAACAACUUCAACAGGCUCUGAAGUGGUCAUCCUGCUUCCCGCAUGAAUCCUGAGUGUUUACCUUCCACUUAGUAGCUAAAGGGCUCUUUUGAACUCAUAAAGUUUAUCAAGUCAUCACCUCCUCAAAACGUUGUAUACAUUUCCCAUAAUAAUGAGCAUGAAAUCCAACUCCAUACCCUAUGUGGUCUAUAUAAUCUCACUUUCCUCAGUCUCCCCUUAUUCCAUUCUCUCUUCACUCAUGAAUCUCCAGACAAAAUUGUCUUCUUCUUAUGUCUCAAUGAUUAGGCCAAGCAGGCUCCACACAGUAGGGUGUGUGCACUGACUGUCUUUGUGUGGAAUUCCUUCUCUCUCGCUGCAUAUUUACAUGGCUGUCCUCUUUUUGUCAUUCAGAUUUUAGUUGAUAUCCCUCCCUUCAAUGAGGCCUUUCAUGGCCUCCAAAUAGUAAGUAGCUUCUUUCAUCAAUUUUUAUCAUGUCACCCUAAAUGUCGUAAUAGUACUUGCCACCGUAAAAUAUUCUUAUUUGUUUAUUGUCUAGCUGUCUAAUGAAGUAAGACCCACAACAGCAGUAAUCUUAAUAAUUUUAUUUAGAAUAAUGUUUGGAAUAUAAAUAUUGUGGAGUGAAUGAAUGCAUGCAUGCAUGAUCACAGUAUAGAUGUAUUAUUUUAUAUGAAGCUAUUAAGAUCAAAGAGUUUGAGCCUGGGUUGAAUUGCUGAUCUACAUUUACUAUGGUGAGUCUAAACAAGUUACUUAACCUGUCUGUGUCUGAGAUUAUACAUCUAAAAAAGGGGCAGAUAAAAAUGUUACUUUCUUCUCAAGGUUAUUGUAAGGAUUAAAUAAAUAAAUUGCCCUUUGUAAAAUGCAUAGAUAACUACUGUAUAAAUGUUGCAAUUUAGUAAUACAGCCCAAUUUUUAGAAUUUUGGCAGCCACACUGUUGACUCAUAUUACACCUAAAGUACAAUGUAAAUUCUCUAAGUUUUUUUUUUUUUUUAACAUGUGCUGCUUUGAAGUCUCACCUCUAUUUUUUUGUGCUUACACAGCUGCCUUUUAGAAGCCAACUACAGGAUUUUAUAUUGGUCAGAUUUAUUUGGUUUCAUUCAGCACAUCAUUCUACUCUGUUGACAAUGCUGAAGGUUUUGAGUUAUUGAUUAAAUGCCACCUUGGAUAUUUGAAACUAGGACUUCAAUCUAAAAAUCUAAGCUACUUAACUCAAGUGACCUCAGUCUACAGGACUCUAAGGAUUCAUGGGGCCAGUGUGUUGUCUUCUGGCAGUUUCCUUUCACUUGCCCGGAGCAGGGGCCUGUGAAGGCUGUCCCUGGGUCUGUAAAACAUAUACCAGAAGUGGGAAAGGACACAGGUUAAAAGCAGAUUGACAGAGGAGGACCAAAGAAGCCAUAAGGAUACCUCAGCUGACAAUGACCAAGCUUAUGAGAAGAUAUAGAAAAAUAGAAACUUGGAGGUAGACUAAAUCUUAUUUUUUCACUUUAAAUUCUGAAAUAAUGAUAGAUUCAUAGGAAAUUGCAUAGUUAGUACAAAGAGGUUCUAAGUACCCUUCACCCAUUUCCGUCUUACAUAGUACUUAACACCAAAACACGACUUUGACAUUGGUAUAAUGUGGGUAUGUAGUUAUGUGUCAUAUUAGCAAACGUGUAGAUUUGUGUAAUCACCACUAUAAUUAAGAUACGAAAAUAUUCUAUCACCACAAAGAUCUCUCCCACACUUUCCUUUUACAAUUACGUACCCAAACCCUCAUUACUCCUGACUCUGGGCAAUCACUAACCUCGGAUGCAACUCAAUAAUUUUAUCACUGAGAGACUACUAUAUAAAUGGAAUCAUACCAGAUGCGACCUUUCAAGACUGGAGUUUUCACUCAAUAUAAUGCCCUUGUGAUCUAUCCUAGCUGUUGUGUGUAUCAAUAGUUAGCUCAUUUUUAUUGUUGAAUAGAAUUCCAUGCUGUGGAUGUACCAGCGUUUGUUUAACUACUCACCCAUUGAGGCACAUUUUGGUCUUGUUUUUGGUGAUUAAAAAUAAACUGCUAUGAACAAUCAUGUGCAGAUUGUUGUGUGUGCAGGUUUUCAUUUCUCUGGGAUAAAUGCACAUACAGUUGCUGGGUUGAAUGGUAACUGUAUGUUUAGAUUUUUUUUUUUAAAGUGUCCAACUAGUUUAUCUAGUUUUUUGAGUGGUAUACUGGCUUAUUUUUCCAUUGUCACAGUUUUUACUUUAGCUGUUCUAAUAGGUAUGUAGUGAUAUCUCAUUGUCAUCUUAAUUUGUAUUUCCCUAACGUCUGGCAAUGUUAAUUAGCUUUUCAUGGGCUCAUUGGACACUCAUAUUUUCUUUAUGAUGAAGUAUGUGUUCAUAUAUUUUUCUAAUUUUCUAUUUGAAUUGUCUGUUUUUACUGUUGAGUUUUGAGAUUUUUUUUUUUUUUUUUUUUUGAGACAGACUCUUGCUCUGUCUCCGAGGCUGGAGUGCAGUGGUGAAAUCUUGGCUCACUGCAAGCUCCGCCUCUCGGGUUCAAGCAAUUCUCCUGCCUCAGCCUCCCAAGUAGCGGGGACUACAGGCGCCCACUACCACGCCCGGCUAAUUUUUUGUAUUUUUAGUAGAGAUGGGAUUUCACCGUGUUAGCCAGGAUGGUCUUGAUCUCCUGACAUCGUGAUCUGCCCACCUCGGCCUCCCAAAGUGCUGGAAUUACAGGCGUGAGCCACCAUGCCUGGCCUGAGUUUUGAGUUUUUAAAUACAUUCUAGAUAUGAGUUCUUUGUUAGAUAUGUAGUUUAUCAAUAUCUUCUCCCAGUCUGUUGCUUGUCUUUUCAUCUUCUCAACAGGGAUUUCAAAGAGCAAAGGUGGUUUAAUUUUGAUGAAAUCCCAUUUGCUUAUUUGUUCGUGUACGGAUCAUAUCUAAGAACUCACAAGUCCUAAGUCCUGAAGAUUUUCUUCCAUGUGACCUGCUACAAGUUUCAUAGCAUUAUGUUUUACAUUUAAAUCAAUUGUUCAUUUUAAGUUAAUUUUUAUAUAAAGGGUGAAGAUUGAGGUUCAUUCUGUUUGUUUGUUUACUUAUUGUCCGAUUUCUCAAGCAUGUUUUGAAAAGACUAUACUUCCUCCAUUAAGUUGUUACUGUUUCUGAACCUUUGACCAAAGGUGGUUGGGCAAAUUUGAGCGUCUUUCUGGGUUCUUUGUUCUGUUUCUUUGAUCUGUCUUUCUGCCAUACCACACAGGACUAUUGCUAUAUACUAAGUUUUGAAGUCAUGUAGAGUAACUCUACCUACUUUAUUAUUUUGCAAAGCAGUUUUAGCUAUUGUAGUUUCUUUGGCUGUCUAUACAAUUUUUAGAAUAAUUUUGUCUAUGUGUAUAGAUAUCUGUUGGGAUUUUAUUUAUUUUUUUAUCUUUUGAUUUUUUUUUAUUAUAUUUUAAUUCUAGGGUACAUGUGCACAAUGUGCAGGUUUGCUACAUAUGUAUACAUGUGCCAUGUUGGUGUGCUGCACCCAUUAACUCGUCAUUUACAUUAGGUAUAUCUCCUAAUGCUAUCCCUCCCCCUCCCCCCACCCCACGAUAGGCCCCAGUGUGUGAUGUUCCUCAUAUAAAUCAUGCUGCUAUAAAGACACAUGCACAUGUAUGUUUAUUGCGGCACUUGGAACCAAUCCAAAUGUCCAUCAAUGAUAGACUGCAUUAAGAACAUGUGGCACAUAUACACCAUGGAAUACUAUGCAGCCAUAUAAAAGGAUGAGUUCAUGUCCUUUGUAGGGACAUGGAUGAAGCUGGAAAGCAUCAUUCUGAGCAAACUAUCGCAAGGACAGAAAACCAAACACUGCAUGUUCUCACUCAUAGGUGGGAAUUGAACAAAGAGCCCAGUUUUAGCAAGAUUCCUCUCAAGUUGCUUUUGCCAGAAUCCAUCAAUAUCUUAUCACCCUUAAUAUCUGAUCCAAUUUCUCAUCCUCCACCAUCUCCCAGUGAACUUGAUCACCCAGGUUUAUCUUCACCAAGAAUCCUGUUAGGCCAAUUUAGCCAGAUCCACUCCCCUUACCCCUGAGACUUCCUCUUAGUAAUUUUCUGUUCACUGAUCCCCUCUCCUCCACUCUUCUCCUUGGCUUUGAUUUCCCAUUAUUUCUUGCUAUAUUCAGGGUUGAGCCCAGUCUUUCUCCCCUGCUGCAAAACUGCGCUGCAGUUGUCCCUGCACCAAUUGGAAUAGUCCUGAAUAAAGUCUGCCUUACCAUUUUAACAAAUGUCUGAUUUUUUUUUUAACAUGGAGAAAGAAAAAAAGCAAUGGGAAAUGAUGAUGCCUUGUCCCCUAGUAGAACAGAGAGCUUAAGUGUCCUAUCAGUUGCAAUUCCCUGACCUCGGAAUCUCUGCAGCCCUCAGAGAAGGGGAGAGCCAGAAGGACCCAGCCGAUCCUGACUACAAAAGGAUGAUAUUUCUGAACUACUUCAUAGCCACUGUCUUAUCCCCAGGAACAAAAUCCCCUCCAACCUACCUACCUUAUUCUUUCUCACAGGCCCCCUGAGAAAUGUGAACGCCUGGCAUUCAUCAUUCACACUCAGGGCUUCUGAACUCCUACUCCAGUGCUAUGGGCCAGGAUUUAUUCUAUCAGGUUGCUGCCUUUGUCCUUCAGAGUGUUGAAUAUUUUGAUAAUCCCCUUUAAAGGCAGGAGUGACCCACAGGCUAAAGAGAAGCAGCAGGCGUUUUGACCAUUGUAGGUAUGAAUAGACUCUUGUUUCAUUCCAAGUUGAAGUACAGAAUCGUGACCCAAAGGCUAGUGAUCCAAAAAUGAGAUUUUUUAUAAUGCCUUAGAAUACAUGAAGAAAGGAGGGACAGAGAGAAAGGAGAUGCAAAGACCGCCUGAUAGAAGUUAUCUUAAGAAGGAAUAGAUAACAGAUUCAGUUACCAUGAAUGUAUUUCACUCUUUCUGUGUCUCAAAUAAUAUGCAUACAACCCUAUGAUCUAAUUUAUUUCAUUUCAGCAAGGUGAGUAUGCCUGAAGAGAUGUACCGGCAAACACUUUUCAAGAAUUGUUAAAAUUGUCCUGAGGUUGUAAAGCUUCAUUAUUUCUAACUAAAUGGCAAAUAUAGCAUUAACUUUUUCUAUGAAGCCAGUAUAGAACGCAUCCAAAUAGCUGUCACAGAAAAGUAACCUCCACCUUACAAUUGUUUCUUAGAUUCCACUUGAAAGUGGUCUGGAGCUUAAAACCUAGUCAUUCAUGAUUUCCAACAUGGUCCAUUAGCUCCAACAUUCAUAUAUAGAUUCAUUGAUAUCAUUAGCAAAAACCUUUAGAAAUAUGAAUCAUAGAAAGAUAUCCACCACUUUGUACGUGCAUUUUCUCUGUCACUUUUCAAAGUGUGACAGAAGCAGAAAGAAGAGAGAACCACAUGUUGUCCAAAUAAAACUCAAUCCCUUUGAAUGUUUAAAUAUUAAAUUAAGUUAUUCAACAAAGAUUUAGAGAGCCUUCCAGGUAUAAGGUGAUAUAUACUUGAAAUGAGCUUGUAGUAAAAAGGUUUCCUCUCAUAGAAAAGGAGUGUUACUAAACCUAAAAGACACAAUGCAUUAUGCAAACCAACCACUCAGCUGACCCACAGUUGAAAGCACUUACUGCCUCAUAGCCAUGCCCAUCAAUUACAGAACUCGUUUCUGCUAAGCCCUAGAUAGACCUGAAAAUCUACCUCAAGAGAACAAUGCAAA